rnacentral:rRNA from 1 species
AUUGAACGCUGGCGGCAUGCCUUACACAUGCAAGUCGAACGGCAGCACGGGUGCUUGCCCCUGGUGGCGAGUGGCGAACGGGUGAGUAAUACAUCGGAACAUGUCCUGUAGUGGGGGAUAGCCCGGCGAAAGCCGGAUUAAUACCGCAUACGAUCUACGGAUGAAAGCGGGGGAUCUUCGGACCUCGCGCUAUCGGGUUGGCCGAUGGCUGAUUAGCUAGUUGGUGGGGUAAAGGCCUACCAAGGCGACGAUCAGUAGCUGGUCUGAGAGGACGACCAGCCACACUGGGACUGAGACACGGCCCAGACUCCUACGGGAGGCAGCAGUGGGGAAUUUUGGACAAUGGGCGAAAGCCUGAUCCAGCAAUGCCGCGUGUGUGAAGAAGGCCUUCGGGUUGUAAAGCACUUUUGUCCGGAAAGAAAUCCUUGGCUCUAAUACAGUCGGGGGAUGACGGUACCGGAAGAAUAAGCACCGGCUAACUACGUG